rnacentral:rRNA from 1 species
UACGGGGGGAGCAAGCGUUGUUCGGAUUUACUGGGCGUAAAGGGCGCGUAGGCGGCCAGCACAAUUCAGUUGUGAAAUCUCCGAGCUUAACUCGGAACGGUCAACUGAUACUGUGCGGCUAGAGUGCAGAAGGGGCAACUGGAAUUCUUGGUGUAGCGGUGAAAUGCGUAGAUAUCAAGAGGAACACCUGCGGCGAAGGCGGGUUGCUGGGCUGACACUGACGCUGAGGCGCGAAAGCUAGGGGAGCGAACGGG